rnacentral:rRNA from 1 species
UACGAAGGUCCCGAGCGUUAUCCGGAUUUAUUGGGUUUAAAGGGUGCGUAGGCGGGUUAUUAAGUCAGUGGUUAAAGCCUACAGCUUAACUGUAGAAUUGCCAUUGAUACUGAUGAUCUUGAGUAUGAUUGAGGUGGGCGGAAUGUGUCAUGUAGCGGUGAAAUGCUUAGAUAUGACACAGAACACCGAUUGCGAAGGCAGCUCACUAAGUCAUAACUGACGCUGAUGCACGAAAGCGUGGGGAGCAAACAGG